ensembl:miRNA
CUGAAGGGACAGGAGGGCCAGCCAUGCUCCAGGGUAGCUGAGGGGAUGGUAGACCGGUGACGUGCACUUCAUUUACGAUGUAGGUCACCCGUUUCACUAUCCGUCGGCACCCGGUCCAUCUG